UUUUGCAUUAAAUUUUCCUCCUUCAAGUAUGUCACUGUGUUUUUAGAAUGGAUAAAAAGAACUAAUACAGAGGAAUAAAACUUCAGAGGGUAACAAUAUUGGUCAGAAGCAUUACUCAAUUUAAGAGAAGGUUACAAUUGUAGUAUGUUUGAUCUCUAUAGGGCAGCCAGUAUCAUACAAAGCACAAGGCUCGGCUAGAAAUGGGCCGAAAAAGAAGAGGAACCCAGAGACUGAGAUUUUCACCUGGCAAAAUCAAGGUGUCCACUCACGUUACUCACCCCAACCUACGAUCAGAAUAUCAAUUGCAUCAGCACAUAUGUUUUUAUGAACAUACAGACUCAUUGGUUUGAGGAAACGUGCCAAGUCUUCCUCGGCUCACAUCAUGUAAGCAGUUGUGUGUGGAGGAACUAUUUGGUUUGUGUAACGUCCCUACCAAUAUGUGCAGAAAAACUGUUAACAAAGGGCAAGGCCGUAAAAAAAACGAUCAUCACUGUGACUUCUACACAUAACAUCUAAUGUCGCAUUUGAGAGUACCAUUACCAUCAGAACGGUUUGUUGAGCUAACUGAAGCUUACUUUGUAUAAUGGUAAAAACAUCAACAUAUUUGCUACUACAAGACUACGUAGCAUCAGAAACAACAAACACAAAUGUUCAAAACCGUCUCUCCAGUCCAUAAAUUACCUGUGCAGAUUGUAGAACUGGGCAACUUUGAACUAGAAAUUCGUCAAAUGAUGCACCAUGCCCUGAAAUUCAGCCGUGUGCCAUAGGAACCUGCGAUCACGGAACACAGUGCUGCAGGUAAGCCACUCUCGAGCACUACAAGCUCCUGAAACACGAUUGAUACCGGCGAGAAACUCCGGGCUCGUCUAUUUCGUCGAACACCUACCGCGCCCUUGCGAGAGCAGACGACUUCGCCUGGGUAAAUCACGCGUCCGAGGCCAGGCAAUGGCAGCCCACGCCCCGCGAUCCAUCCAGUGCAAGACCGGGCCGCGCAGGAUCACACGCGGGAGCGGCU
rnacentral:lncRNA from 1 species